GUAACUAUUCCUGAAAUAACAUUGCCUUUUUCUAAUGCAAUGUAUUAUAAUGUAAUUAGAAACUCUCCCAUUGCACUGGUAGUAUGUAUUAUGGGAAUCCUCCCUACCAACUCAAUGACAGGCAUUGGUAGUCAUUACCCCCUCCGUGCUCUGGGGUGUUUAAUGUGCAGCAGUGGCAGUAUCCCUUAAUGUUCUUAGGGCAGAAACGAGCCUGAUUAAACCUUCUGCCAUUUGUCCAUUUGCCACUGUAAUACCAGCUAAUAUCGCACAUGCAGCUUUUAGACGAGUCAGAGUGGGAUACGAAAGGGAAGCGGUGUUUGUUUUCCGCACCAGGCAAUUGCCACUCUGUAGCAGAGUCUUUCACACCGCGCGGGGCCUCGUGCUCUCUGUGGGCUCCCACACAUUCACAGUGCUCCCAUCGUCUGGUCCUAAUCUAAUUACCAUGCUGGCUGGGAGACAGAGGGAGACAGAGGGACAACUUAACUUGCUCUCUCUUUUUUUUGACAGUCCUGUGACGAGUGUACGUUUUUCCUUUUCUCUUCAACGAAGCGGCCGAAGACGGAGUAUGAUACUGUGGGACUGCUAUGGAGGUUGGUGUCUUCAGAGGUCCAUCUAAGCCAAGGGAUUUUGGGGAACUGUACAUAAUGGAGCUCUGAACCACAGAGGGGAACCAACACUCAGCCUCACGCGGUCCCGAAGGCCGCUGGCGGGGGAAUCGGGGCGGGAAGUCCCCUCUUAUCGGCGCCAGCUACCUCACAGCCUGAAUAAUAUAUCCACAUUUCCAGUAAUCACGCUUGGCUAAGGCCUGGCCAACAGCCCAGAGUCCAGUAAUGACAUUCAGCAAGGGCUAUACUUUAUUACAUAACGAGGCAUGUGUGUAGUCCCCUUUCCGUACUGCAAGAUUAAUGACAGAACACUAUUGUCAAAGUUAGGAAAACAACCACGUCCCGGAUCUCUCAACACUCCACUUUUGUGUACCUAUGAGUUCUACAUGCCUUUGCUUUCUUUGUGUAUGAUGAUGUCAUUUAACGGAAUGUGUAUGGUGAGUGACCACCAAUGUACAGUCCAUCAGCUGUAAUGUAUUAUUCACUGCAGUGGAAAAGUGUAAUUUCUAUGGAAUGUGCAUGCUAUAGUGUAAGGACCUGAUAGUAACACCCAACCCUUACCACCUCUGACCCAAACCGAAGGCGAACCCAAAGUUAAUCUUAUCUUACCGUAACCGGCCCAACUUGGCUCAAUCAGUUGCAGAGUGGACACAAUUGUACAAUACCCAAUCAUUUUUGCUUAGCUAUGGACCUUAUAUUCUUUCACAACUACAUAAUAUUGGACCAUUAAUAGGCCACAUUAAUUGGAAGACUGGAGAUCAAUGUAUCCAGUGGCCAUAAUUUACCGUUCCUUUUCUAAUGUAGCACAGAUAGUGAGCCCUUCUGGAAAAAACUAAAUAAAAUUUGCCUUUUCCCAUGUGAAAAUCACAAUUUCACAUGUGAAUUUAACAUUUUCAAAUAUGAAUUAAAAUAUUCACUUGGGAAAAAGUUGAACUUGACAUUUUCAUACAUACAUCAUUUUCAUUUUUCACAUUUUAACAACACAAUAUGAACAACAAUUUUGUGAAAACGAAACGAAAAUGUGACUUGAAAAAGCAUCAGUGGGAUUAUUUUUAUAGUUCACAUGUGUCCUCUUCACAUGUUGGAUGUUCUCACGUGGUUUUUGGAUGUUCGAAGAUGUGAUUUUUUUGUAAGGGAGUCUUCCAGUGUAUGAAUGACACAAAAUUGAGAAACUAUAUGCACAUUAGUUUAACUUGAUUGAAUGUCUUAAUACAGUCAUUCCAGUUCCAGAAAUAAAUGACAUUUACAUCCUCUUCUGGGUUAAAAUACACUUACUGUAGCAAAGUGUCUCCUCAUGCAGCUAAUUUUCUCAGCAGGGUAACACAGUCUGAGUGUUCUAAUUUGCAGGUAGGUGUAUCCUGAAUGAAUUAACUUAUGCUUUACUGAAUCUGAAAAAUGCCAUAUAAUAAUCGGCCCAGCCUGCCCCAAAACCUGUUUCUCUGUCAUGAAAUAAAAGUCAACUUGUCCUGAACCUGACACAAA